ensembl:lncRNA
GUGAGGAAAGAGAUGCGCACUUACAACCACAGGAAGCGAAUCUCGUCCAUGCUCCCAGUCUUCUUAACUUUCCUGGUGGAGGGCAAGUCAAACCAACAGUGAAGUUCGACUCAGAGCCGCUGCCGUUGACGGCGCAGGGGCAGAGAAUUCCCAAGAGGGUAAAAGCCAGAUUUGGGAGGUCAAGCCAGUCAAUCCUAACGGAAAUCAGUCCUGAAUAUUCACUGGAAGGACUGAUGCUGAAGCUGAAGCUCCAAUUCUUGGAUCAUCUGAUGUGAAGAGAGCCAACUCAUUGGAAAAGACCCUGAUGCUGGGGAAGAUCGAAGGCAGGAAGAGAAGGAAUCGACAGAGGAUGAGAUGUUUGGAUGGCAUCACCAACUCAGGGGAUAUGAAUUUGAGCAAGCUCUGGGAGUUGGUGAAGGACAGGGAAGCCUGGCAUAAUGCAGUCCAUAGAGUCGUAAAGAGUCAGACACAGCUUAACAACAAAAUGUUUUUAAUAUAACUUCAAAAACGAACUUAAAAUCACUUGUGAAAAUAUGUAGAAACUAAUUUCUGGUCUUACUGUAACCAUUGUUAAACUAUUGCUUUUCUCUGUAAUUUUGGAAUAUUCCUAGAGAGUCCUUACCCUUCAAAAAUAUAAAAAAGCACAAUUAAAGAAAAAGAAAGCCAAGUCAAUUAAUCAAGUACUUUUUUUUUCUAAAUAGAUUCUGGUAUCCAAAGAAAAGUCGUUGUCUCUACUGUAUUUUGUUUGAGCAGAAUUAGAAUAUAUAUUCCAAGUUGUCCUAAAAUCAUGUCUGGGUAAAACAUGUUAGUAAAAGAAGUUAAUCAAAGUGAAAACAUAAAAAAAUAAAUAAAUGGUGUUGUCUGUGUUGUUGUCUUUAAUUUCUCCUGAAUUUUUGAAUCCAUUAACAACCAUGUAGUUUGAAAGGCUGUUAUAUUUUCCCUACAGUCUGAAAAUAAUUGAUUAAAACUUUUAAACUAAUAUCAAGAAGACUUAAAUGUCAUACAUUAUAUUCUUACUGUAUUACCUA